rnacentral:lncRNA from 1 species
AACUGUGUUUCAUUUAAGGAAAAGCUUAGCCACAACUUAAACAAGAGCUAGGCAAACGCUUCGGUCGAUUUUACCCCAUCUUAUAUAGGGAGAAAAGGGUGAGUGAAAAGACAAAUGAUCUGUAUGCUCUAGGGAGUUAACAAGUCCUGAUAAGCAUAUUCAUGCUUCAGGGAAGUGAGAACAAAGUGCUUAUGCUGUCAAAAUUAUUCCAGAAGUUCGCAAGCUGCCCAAGGUUUGAUGAGUUGGGUAGAAGAAUGUGAGGUCUAAGUAAUUAUCACCGUGCAGCGAGUUCUUAUUGGGGAAUCUUUUAUUUGUCUGAACUCACAUUCCACUUCACAGCUACCUACCAUUACUUCUCAUGGAAUAUCUUUACAAAAAGUCAUACUCCCUCCGUUUCAAUUUAUGUUUCAAUUUAUGUGAGAACAUGUUUGACUCUGCACGGAGUUCAAGAAAAAAUAAAGACUUGAAAUUUGUGGUCCUAAACAAGUCAAAAAGGAGCCCAGAGUAUUUGUGGGAUUAUAAAAGUUUCUCAUUAAGGGUAGAAUUGUAAGUUUAAGCUAAAUUGUUUCCAAUGCAUAAACAGUUCAUUCUUUUUGAAACGGACCAAAAAGAAAAUAGAUUCACAUAAACUGGACCGGAGGGAGUAUUAAAUAGAAAAUAUCUCCCCAGACAUCAAAAAGCCACAAAUAAAAGAGAAAUAUCAACCUACACAACAAGAAAACAGAAUAGGAACAAGUCAACACCUUAACAAAUAGACUCAUAGGGUAGAAAUGAAUGUUCAGCAACCACAACCGACACCCACCCACCCCAACCCACAAAAAUAAAC